UGAGGCAGGAGAAUUGCUUGAACCCAGGAGGUGGAGGUUGCAGUGAGCCGAGAUCAUGCCACUGCACUCCAGCCUGGGUGACAGAGGGAGACUCCGUCU
ensembl:miRNA